UUUGAGAGUUUGAUCCUGGCUCAGGAUGAACGCUAGCGGUAUGCUUAACACAUGCAAGUCGUACGAGAGUAUUUAACUCUAGUGGCGGACGGGUGAGUAACACGUGAGAAUCUGCCCGCAGGAGGGAAAUAACAUUAGGAAACCAAUGCUAAAGUCCCAUAUACCUUUUGGUGAAACAGGUAACAAACCUGCCUGCGGAAGAGCUCGCGCCUGAUUAGCUAGUUGGUGGGGUAAAGGCCUACCAAGGUGAUGAUCAGUAGCUGGUCUGAGAGGAUGAUCAGCCACACUGGAACUGAGACACGGUCCAGACUCCUACGGGAGGCAGCAGUGGGGAAUUUUCUGCAAUGGGCGCAAGCCUGACAGAGCAAUACCGCGUGAGGGAUGAAGGCUCGUGGGCUGUAAACCUCUUUUUUCAAGGAGGAAGUACUGACGUGUACUUGAAGAAUAAGCAUCGGCU
rnacentral:rRNA from 1 species